rnacentral:rRNA from 1 species
UACGUAGGGUGCAAGCGUUAAUCGGAAUUACUGGGCGUAAAGCGUGCGCAGGCGGUUGUGCAAGACAGAUGUGAAAUCCCCGGGCUCAACCUGGGAAUUGCAUUUGUGACUGCACGGCUAGAGUGUGUCAGGGGGGGGUAGAAUUCCACGUGUAGCAGUGAAAUGCGUAGAGAUGUGGAGGAAUACCGAUGGCGAAGGCAGCCCCCUGGGAUAACACUGACGCUCAUGCACGAAAGCGUGGGGAGCAAACAGG